rnacentral:misc_RNA from 1 species
AAGUCGUAACAAGGUUUCCGUAGGUGAACCUGCGGAAGGAUCAUUAACACGUUAUCCAACGUAACUACCAACGCGCAUUGUUUUCCCCACUCCCGCUGUCUCACAUGUAUCGGCUAAGUGCUCAGAGAAAUUUGGAGGGACGAGGCUUCGGCUGAGUCUUUUCUGGCACCGACCGGCUUGCGCAAGCAAGUCAAACGAUAGUAGUGAGCCGCGGCUAUCGCUGCAUUGCUGGAAAUCUCCGCCAAGAUUAUGAGCAUUGUGGCACAUUUAAUAACUAUUUUAACCCCUUUUUGCUAGUUGACUUUUUAAUCUGUUGAUGUUCUCACUUUAUUGCGAGGCUCAGCACGUUUGAUCUAAUUGAACGUUAAAUAAUACAACUCUUAGCAAUGGAUAUCUUGGUUCUC